GAGCUUGCUCCUUUGAUUUAGCGGCGGACGGGUGAGUAACACGUGGGUAACCUACCCUAUAGACUGGGAUAACUUCGGGAAACCGGAGCUAAUACCGGAUAAUACUUUUGAACACAUGUUCGAAAGUUGAAAGAUGGUUUCGGCUAUCACUAUAGGAUGGACCCGCGGCGCAUUAGCUAGUUGGUGGGGUAAUGGCUCACCAAGGCAACGAUGCGUAGCCGACCUGAGAGGGUGAUCGGCCACACUGGGACUGAGACACGGCCCAGACUCCUACGGGAGGCAGCAGUAGGGAAUCUUCCACAAUGGACGAAAGUCUGAUGGAGCAACGCCGCGUGAGUGAAGAAGGAUUUCGGUUCGUAAAACUCUGUUGCAAGGGAAGAACAAGUAGCGUAGUAACUGGCGCUACCUUGACGGUACCUUGUUAGAAAGCCACGGCUAACUACGUGCCAGCAGCCGCGGUAAUACGUAGGUGGCAAGCGUUGUCCGGAAUUAUUGGGCGUAAAGCGCGCGCAGGUGGUUCUUUAAGUCUGAUGUGAAAGCCUCCGGCU
rnacentral:rRNA from 1 species